rnacentral:tRNA from 1 species
GGAGAGAUGGCCGAGAGGUCGAAGGCGGUCGCCUGCUAAGCGAAUAAGUGGGUAACAGCCUGCUUCGAGGGUUCGAAUCCCUCUCUCUCCGCCA